rnacentral:rRNA from 1 species
AACGCGAAGAACCUUACCCGGGUUUGACAUACAGGUGGUAGGAAUCCGAAAGGUGACCGACCCUUCGGGGAGCCUGUACAGGUGCUGCAUGGCUGUCGUCAGCUCGUGUCGUGAGAUGUCCGGUUAAGUCCGGUAACGAGCGCAACCCGCGCCGUAUGUUACAAGUGUCAUACGGGACUGCCGGUAUAAAGCCGGAGGAAGGUGCGGAUGACGUCAAGUCAGCAUGGCCUUUAUAUCCGGGGCUACACACACGCUAUAAUGGCCAGUACAAUGGGUUGCAAAGCCGCGAGGUAGAGCCAAUCCCCAAAGCUGGUCUCAGUUCAGAUUGUAGGCUGCAACCCGCCUACAUGAAGUCGGAGUUGCUAGUAAACGCAGGACAGCUAUACUGCGUUGAAUACGUUCCCGGGUCUUGUACACAC